CGGGACGGGUGAGUAAUGUCUGGGAAACUGCCUGAUGGAGGGGGAUAACUACUGGAAACGGUAGCUAAUACCGCAUAACGUCGCAAGACCAAAGAGGGGGACCUUCGGGCCUCUUGCCAUCGGAUGUGCCCAGAUGGGAUUAGCUAGUAGGUGGGGUAACGGCUCACCUAGGCGACGAUCCCUAGCUGGUCUGAGAGGAUGACCAGUCACACUGGAACUGAGACACGGUCCAG
rnacentral:rRNA from 1 species